AACGCACGAGACCUGCGGACCUGCGGAGGGAUCAUUAAUGAGUUGCAAAACUCCCUAAACCAUUGUGAACCUACCUGUACCGUUCCUUCGGCGGGCGGCGUCAGGCCCUAACCCGUCUCCCUUUACGGGGGAUGGACCCGCCGGAGGCUCCUAAACUCUUAACUUUUGUUGGCAUCUCUGAGUAAAUCAAAAUAAGUCAAAACUUUCAACAAUGGAUCUCU
rnacentral:misc_RNA from 1 species